rnacentral:rRNA from 1 species
CCUACGGGAGGCAGCAGUGAGGAAUAUUGGUCAAUGGACGAGAGUCUGAACCAGCCAAGUAGCGUGAAGGAUGACUGCCCUAUGGGUUGUAAACUUCUUUUUUAAAGGAAUAAAACGCGGCACGUGUGCCUUUUUGCAUGUACUUUAUGAAUAAGGAUCGGCUAACUCCGUGCCAGCAGCCGCGGUAAUACGGAGGAUCCGAGCGUUAUCCGGAUUUAUUGGGUUUAAAGGGAGCGUAGAUGGGUUGUUAAGUCAGUUGGGAAAGUUUUCGGCUCAACCGUAAAAUUGCACUUGAUACUGGCAGUCGUGAGUACAGUUGAGGUAGGCGGAAUUCGUGGUGUAGCGGUGAAAUGCUUAGAUAUCACGAAGAACCCCGAUUGCGAAGGCAGCUUACUAAACUGUGACUGACAUUGAUGCUCGAAAGUGUGGGUAUCAAACAGGAUUAGAUACCCCAGUAGUC